CAGCCGUGGUAAUACGUAGGGUGCGAGCGUUAAUCGGAAUUACUGGGCGUAAAGCGUGCGCGGCGGUUUUAUAAGUCAGAUGUGAAAUCCCCGAGCUCAACUUGGGAACUGCGUUUGAAACUGUAAGACUAGAGUGUGUCAGAGGGGGGUAGAAUUCCACGUGUAGCAGUGAAAUGCGUAGAUAUGUGGAGGAAUACCAAUGGCGAAGGCAGCCCCCUGGGAUAACACUGACGCUCAUGCACGAAAGCGUGGGGWGCAAACAGGAUUAGAUACCCUGGUAGUCCACGCCCUAAACGGUGUCUACUAGUUGUUGGUGGAGUAAAAUCCAUGAGUAACGCAGCUAACGCGUGAAGUAGACCGCCUGGGGAGUACGGUCG
rnacentral:rRNA from 1 species